UACAGAGGUCCCAAGCGUUGUUCGGAUUCAUUGGGCGUAAAGGGUGCGUAGGUGGCGCCGUAAGUCAGGUGUGAAAUCUCGGGGCUUAACUCCGAAACUGCAUUUGAUACUGCGGUGCUUGAGGACUGGAGAGGAGACUGGAAUUCCUGGUGUAGCGGUGAAAUGCGCAGAUAUCAGGAGGAACACCGGUGGCGAAGGCAGCUCUCUGGGACGGUACUGACGCUGAGACGCGAAAGCGUGGGGAGCGAACAGG
rnacentral:rRNA from 1 species